rnacentral:rRNA from 1 species
UGGGGAAUAUUGGACAAUGGGCGCAAGCCUGAUCCAGCCAUGCCGCGUGAGUGACGAAGGCCUUAGGGUUGUAAAGCUCUUUUGGCGGGGAAGAUAAUGACGGUACCCGCAGAAUAAGCUCCGGCUAACUUCGUGCCAGCAGCCGCGGUAAUACGAAGGGAGCUAGCGUUGUUCGGAAUCACUGGGCGUAAAGCGCACGUAGGCGGACUUAUAAGUCAGGGGUGAAAUCCCGGGGCUCAACCUCGGAACUGCCUCUGAUACUGUGAGUCUCGAGACCGGAAGAGGUGAGUGGAAUUCCUAGUGUAGAGGUGAAAUUCGUAGAUAUUAGGAAGAACACCAGUGGCGAAGGCGGCUCACUGGUCCGGUUCUGACGCUGAGGUGCGAAAGCGUGGGGAGCAAACAGGAUUAGAUACCCUAGUAGUCCCUGAGCGGGCUGGCAAGGCGCAU